rnacentral:lncRNA from 1 species
CUGAAAGAUGUCAAAGAAAGUUUACAGAGAAAUUUGAUAAUCAAAAAUAUAUAAUUUACUUCGGUGUUAUAACUGUAUCACUUACAGUUUUCUACUUUUACAGAUUUUACUUUGUUACUUUAGCUCUUAGCUAUGGGUUGGGAUGUGUGGCUUGUUAUUACGGCCUAAAUUCUAGUUAUUUACACAAAUUAUUGGACCGUGUUAUGUGCCAUUUCGAUGGAAACCCGCCAGAAGAAAAGUUAAAAGAAACGUCUGUCAAAGGAUGUAACACAUGUGGGUCAAAAGAUUGUUCCCGGCAUGAUGACGGAGGUACAAGUGAGCCCUGGACAGGGCUCCAAAUACACAAACAACUUGAUCAGGCUAUU